rnacentral:tRNA from 1 species
GCCCUGAUGGUCUAGCGGUAUGAUUCUCCCUUAGGGUUGUCAGUUCGAUGGUUCGAUCUGGGAGAGGUCCCAGGUUCGAUCCCUGGUUAGGGCC